rnacentral:lncRNA from 1 species
CAACAGAGCAAGACUCCGUCUCAAAAAACAAAAAACAAAACAAAAAACACAGAGAUGGGGGGCUGGCUAUGUUGUUCAGGCUGGUCUCAAACGCCGGGGCUCAAGCAGUUCUCCCACCUUGGCCUCCCAAAGUGCUGGGAUUACAGGUGUGAGCCACCACAUCUGGCCCGUAUUAUUAUUAUUUUUUUUUGAGACAGAGUCUCACUCUUGCCCAGAGCUGGAGUGCAGUGAUCUCAGCUCACCGCAACCUCCACCUCCCAGGUUCAAGCAAUUCUCCUGCCUCAGCCUCCCACAGUGCUGGGAUUAGACGUGAGCCAUCGUGCCCGGCCUCCCCUUGUAAUUUCUUGGCAAAGUCGGGUUUUCUGCCCCGUAGUGUCUCUGAACUUUUGGAUCUGCCCAGUGGUGUCCCCUGGGGGUGCCUGGCCUGCUCCCCAGCCCCUGGUGUCCCCUGUGAAACGGUAGUAAAGCGUAGACGCCAUGCUGUCAGGUGAGCCGACUGCUGCCGGCGGCUCUUCCAAUGUAAACGCUGCACAGCUGAGCCGUCAAAGCCUUUUCAUCAUACGGAAACUUCCAUCAGAUGCUGCUGACCCACAGGCACGAUGGGAUUCAAGUUUGGGUUUUUGGUGGUGCUGGAAUCCCGUGGGGAGGCCGUGGCUGGUGUGACCUCAGCAGCCAGACCCACCUACUCAUUAGGGGUCUGCACCAGGUUGCCCUGGCAGCUGUGGGGAGAACAGACCACGGGUGGUGCAGGGAGGACCCCGCAGAGGGGCCUGGGCUGGUCGAGGAUGUUGAUGGGGAAGGAGGCUGGGUUCGACGCUGGGCCCCAACCUGGGUAGGAGCUGUGGAGGGGUGAGCAGUGGGCAGUUCCCUGUGUUGCAGGUGGCGCCCCCCAGGGUUUUCGGGAGAAACAGGGUGUCAGAGGCAGUGACGACAGAGCUGCCUCCGCCUGGGGUGGGAAGAGCGAGUGGGGGCAGAUCAGGAGUGGGGUCAUGGACAUGUUAGAGUGGGGCUCCCGUGGGACCCCCAGGGGAGAGGCAGAGGAGGUGGUGGGAUAGGCGUCCAGCCCAGGGCGAGGUCCAGGUGGAGAUGGACUUGCCGGCGUUUAGAACAGAGGGUCUCCACCCGGGGUGAUCCUGCCCCCCGCCCCAGGGGACCCUGGAC